GUAGCAUCGGGAUGUCUAAUUACUCAUGUUUUGGCGGUCUUUCCGUGUACACCCCCCUUCAGUCUGCACUACAUGGACUAUUCCAUGUUACGCGCAUCACGCUCAUCCCGCGUAUGCAGAAAUGAUUUAAAAUUCAAAACAGUAAAUAGCGGUAAGAGAGAGAGAAGAGAUAAAUCGAGUGAGAAAUGAAGCAAACCUACAAAAAGCGGGUCACAGAAAAAUAAGAAGAAAGGCAGGAGUUUAUUUCAAAACUGCUAAAGCUAUCAAGCUUUUUUACAGGCACUGCGGUAGCAGCGGAACAAGAGUAGCUGUCUACAUCGUUUGCUCUCACCGGUAAGUCAAGUUUUGACAGAAAGGGAGAGCGAGAGAGAGAGAGAGCGCACAGAUGAGGACAAACUGAGAGAGGAGACAAGCUCACAGAUGAGGACAAGAGGGAGAGAAAGAGGAGAAAAAACAAGCUCAGAGACAGGAGAAGCAAAGAAACAGUGAGACUGAAGAGGUGACACAAAUAGACCACAAUGCCCUGUCCGUCCCCCUGCUGUGACCUACUGAAAACCUAAGGCUACUCGCAGGUUUUUCCUCCCCUCUGCUUUCCAGCUGUAGUCUAAAUAACUCGGUGCCCGGCCCAAAAUGAUACCAGUCUACUUGCCUGAUUUGGGGUAGGUGACGAUUAAAACGUCAUCGUUCUUGAACUCAAACUCCGCCGCAAAUCUCAAACUCUCUUCCGUGUGCGUCUCUUUGGGCAGCAGCAGUCCACGAUGAAUGAUGUACUUGUCGGAACACGUCGUCGCCAUGUUGCCCUGCGGGUUUGAAGAUAGAGGUGUGGAACAAUCUGGCUUCGUGAAAGUUUUGGUGAUCACCUCCUGAGCUUGACUAUAUGCUUCCCAUUCUCGUAGUGGGCGGAGCACGAUGGACUAUCUUUUGGUUCAGAGACUCAACAUACACUUCAGGUGAUUCAAUGUUAGGAAUUCACCUGGAUUUAAGUUCGUAUUUAAUUCCAAGGGGGCGAAUAAGGAUUGAGCAAGUCAAUAUAAUUUCUGCUUAAGCGUUUCUCACUGUUGAUUCUGCUGAUGCUCUAUUACUGGUGCGUUUCUGGUUAUUGUAUUAAUGUUUUACUACUAAUGACUUUUUUAUUGUAGGUUUUAUUACUGAUCUUAUACGAGGUAGGGUGACCUUGAGUGCCAUGACAGGAGCCAUUCAAUAAAAUGUAUUGUUAUUAUAAUUAUUGAUAUUAUAAUUAUAAUUAUUAUUAUUAUUAUUAUUAUUAUUAUUAUUAUUAUCCAUCGUCACUUCAGUGUCAAACAUGUCUGUUCUAUUCAACCAUGUAAUUCGACCUUAUGGUUCAGACUGAUCAGUUUGUUUCCCUUUGUAGUGAUUUGGGGAUCUGUGAAUGCUCUUCAUGUUCUGAAAUGCAUGAAGGCAAUGUUGAAUGGUGUUAAACCUGUUUCUUUGCAUUUCAUAAUCCAGCAAUUCAGUGUGGAGAAAAUAGGGAACAAUGAGUUGUAAUGUUACUGCCCCCUCACAUACCAGAAAAGCCGUACUAUAAACUCAUAAACCUUUACAAAGAUCAUUCAUGGUUAAACCCAUGAAUGCACACAGCCUAUUUAGUAUUUAUGUUCCUUUGCUUGCCAUUUCUUUAACAUAUCUUAGGGUCAAUGUAUAAAACCACGUGUUUGUGUGUAUAUGUGGGUGGAUUAAGUAAUAGCCAUGGUGCCUUUGUAUUCCUUAAAUAAUAAGAGCUUUGUUUGAGUUGGAAAUGGCCAAAGCAGAGAGAAAGGCUGAGUGAGCAUGCCAGGGUGAAUGUGAGGGUGAGAGUAACUAAUGAAAAUGAAUAAAUGUCUGUUUGUCCUGUG